GAAUGAGUUCCUUAGGAAUGCAUUCUGUCAUUCUAUUAUAUAGUAAGAUAGGAGGCUUCUCUGUAGAAAACCCUAACUUUUAAAACUACCAGUCCUCUACUCUGCCUGAACUUCUAGCGGAUCCCACUCAGGCCUCCUUUAUAGGUCCCUUGAUGGCAGCUCCUUUUUCAAUUAGUUCAUUUUCAUUUCUCCGGCACCCAGACAAGCUUGGAGUAGAUACCCAAAUAUUUGCUGCUGAGUAAAUGAAUGUACAGAGUUGGGUUCUUUGCUCGCAGGCACACCGCUAUCUCGCAGGACUUGGGGCUGAGAACAUCUUGGAUCACAUGCUACUGUUUGCAGGAUGAAUCUCAGAGGAGUGUUUCCAAGGAAGUAUGACUGUGUUCAUGUGCAUGUGAGGUCCAGACCUGGGUUUCUCCGUGAACUAACAGUGUCAUGCAUUUAAGUGAACACAGGGCAGCACGCAAACGUACCUGUUCUGCAAGGAAAACCUCGUCUGCUGGUGUGAAAAGCCAGCUGUGGCCGAGGAGGAGGUGGAAAAGCUGCGCUGUCAGGACACAGCUCAUCAACACUAAACCUGACAAAUGAGCAAGGAGCCUUCUGAGGCCAGAGGAGACCAAGAUUGACAAGCCACUGGCACCAUGACAUAGGGGGAAGCGUCGGUGCGUGCGACACAGAUGUGUGUUCUCCAUGCAAGGAGAUGAGAGCCUUUCAAGGUCCACCGUUGUCUGUGCAGUGGACAUAAAUUUUGAUGGAGAUGUACCAACGUGAUUUACCAAAACCAUUUACAGCUGUUCAGUUGGAGGGAACUGGGAAGCGAUUGCGGAGAGAACCCAGGAAGCCUCGUGCUCAUGAGUGAGAAUGACUGCAUAUUUUAAAACUUCUGGAGACACACAAUUUCCCUCUGAUGUGGCAAUUUUUACUUUUCGUUCGCAUCGUUUCAGCUGUGAAGAAACUAGAGCAAAUCCCAUUGCUCCAGAAACCAUUCGGGAGGUUGGCUUUCUCCAGG
rnacentral:lncRNA from 1 species